rnacentral:rRNA from 1 species
GACGAACGCUGGCGGCGUGCUUAACACAUGCAAGUCAAGGGGGCCCGCAAGGGCAACCGGCGAACGGGUGCGUAACACGUGAGCAACCUACCCAUUUGUGGGGGAUAGCCGGCCCAACGGCCGGGUAAUACCGCAUACGUUCAUCGCGCGGCAUCGCGUGGUGAGGAAAGCCUUCGGGCGCAGAUGGAGGGGCUCGCGGCCUAUCAGCUAGUUGGUGAGGUAACGGCUCACCAAGGCGACGACGGGUAGCUGGUCUGAGAGGAUGGCCAGCCACAUUGGGACUGCGACACGGCCCAGACUCCUACGGGAGGCAGCAGUGGGGAAUCUUGCGCAAUGGCCGAAAGGCUGACGCAGCGACGCCGCGUGUGGGAUGAAGCUCUUCGGGGUGUAAACCGCUGUUGCCCGGGACGAACGGGCGGAUUUAUCCGCCGUGACGGUACCGGGUGAGGAAGCACCGGCUAACUCCGUGCCAGCAGCCGCGGUAAUACGGAGGGUGCGAG